AUUGAACGCUGGCGGCAUGCUUUACACAUGCAAGUCGAACGGCAGCGCGGGCUUCGGCCUGGCGGCGAGUGGCGAACGGGUGAGUAAUACAUCGGAACGUGCCCAGUAGUGGGGGAUAGCUCGGCGAAAGCCGGAUUAAUACCGCAUACGACCUGAGGGUGAAAGCGGGGGAUCUUCGGACCUCGCGCUAUUGGGGCGGCCGAUGGCAGAUUAGCUAGUUGGUGGGGUAAAGGCCUACCGAGGCGACGAUCUGUAGCUGGUCUGAGAGGACGACCAGCCACACCGGGACUGAGACACGGCCCAGACUCCUACGGGAGGCAGCAGUGGGGAAUUUUGGACAAUGGGCGAAAGCCUGAUCCAGCAAUGCCGCGUGUGUGAUGAAGGCCUUCGGGUUGUAAAGCACUUUUGGCGGGAACGAAAAGGACUGUGCCAAUACCACGGUUCGAUGACGGUACCCGCAGAAUAAGCACCGGCUAACUACGUG
rnacentral:rRNA from 1 species